CACGUAGGGCGCAAGCGUUGUCCGGAAUUAUUGGGCGUAAAGAGCUCGUAGGCGGUCUGUUACGUCUGCUGUGAAAACCCAGGGCUUAACCCUGGGCUUGCAGUGGAUACGGGCAGACUAGAGGCAGGUAGGGGAGAAUGGAAUUCCCGGUGUAGCGGUGAAAUGCGCAGAUAUCGGGAGGAACACCGGUGGCGAAGGCGGUUCUCUGGGCCGUAACUGACGCUGAGGAGCGAAAGCGUGGGGAGCGAACAGG
rnacentral:rRNA from 1 species